AACGAAGCACCUUUUGAGAUUCUUCGGAGAUCGAUCGGUGACUGAGUGGCGGACGGGUGAGUAACGCGUGGGUAACCUGCCCUGUACAGGGGGAUAACAGCUGGAAACGGCUGCUAAUACCGCAUAAGCGCACGAGGGGACAUCUCCUUGUGUGAAAAACUCCGGUGGUACAGGAUGGGCCCGCGUCUGAUUAGCUGGUUGGCAGGGUAACGGCCUACCAAGGCAACGAUCAGUAGCCGGUCUGAGAGGAUGAACGGCCACAUUGGAACUGAGACACGGUCCAAACUCCUACGGGAGGCAGCAGUGGGGAAUAUUGCACAAUGGGGGAAAACCCUGAUGCAGCAACGCCGCGUGAGUGAAGAAGUAUUUCGGUAUGUAAAGCUCUAUCAGCAGGGAAGAUAAUGACGGUACCUGACUAAGAAGCUCCGGCUAAAUACGUGCCAGCAGCCGCGGUAAUACGUAUGGAGCAAGCGUUAUCCGGAUUUACUGGGGUGUAAAGGGUGCGUAGGUGGCAGUGCAAGUCAAAUGUGAAAGGCCGGGGCUCAACCCCGGAGCUGCAUUUGAAACUGCUCGGCUAGAGUACAGGAGAGGCAGGCGGAAUUCCUAGUGUAGCGGUGAAAUGCGUAGAUAUUAGGAGGAACACCAGUGGCGAAGGCGGCCUG
rnacentral:rRNA from 1 species